CCGAAUUCGUCGACAACAGAGUUUGAUCCUGGCUCAGGACGAACGCUGGCGGCGUGCUUAACACAUGCAAGUCGAACGCUGAAGCUCCAGCUUGCUGGGGUGGAUGAGUGGCGAACGGGUGAGUAAUACGUGAGUAACCUGCCCUUGACUCUGGGAUAAGCCUGGGAAACCGGGUCUAAUACUGGAUACGACGUCCUGCCGCAUGGUGGGGGGUGGAAAGGGUUUUACUGGUUUUGGAUGGGCUCACGGCCUAUCAGCUUGUUGGUGGGGUAAUGGCCUACCAAGGCGACGACGGGUAGCCGGCCUGAGAGGGUGACCGGCCACACUGGGACUGAGACACGGCCCAGACUCCUACGGGAGGCAGCAGUGGGGAAUAUUGCACAAUGGGCGGAAGCCUGAUGCAGCGACGCCGCGUGAGGGAUGACGGCCUUCGGGUUGUAAACCUCUUUCAGCAGGGAAGAAGCCACAAGUGACGGUACCUGCAGAAGAAGCGCCGGCUAACUACGUGCCAGCAGCCGCGGUAAUACGUAGGGCGCAAGCGUUGUCCGGAAUUAUUGGGCGUAAAGAGCUCGUAGGCGGUUUGUCGCGUCUGCUGUGAAAGCCCGGGGCCCAACCCCGGGUCUGCAGUGGGUACGGGCAGACUAAAGUGCAGUAGGGGAGACUGGAAUUCCUGGUGUAGCGGUGAAAUGCGC
rnacentral:rRNA from 1 species